rnacentral:rRNA from 1 species
CCCUUAGAUGUCCUGGGCCGCACGCGCGCUACACUGAUGCAUUCAACGAGUCCAACCUUGACCGAGAGGUCCGGGUAAUCUUUGAAACUGCAUCGUGAUGGGGCUAGAUUAUUGCAAUUAUUAACCUUCAACGAGGAAUGCCUAGUAAGCGUGAUUCAUCAAAUCGCGUUGAUUACGUCCCUGCCCUUUGUACACACCGCCCGUCGCUCCUACCGAUUGAGUGUGUUGGUGAGGAGUUUGGAUUGGCCUCGGAAGGUGGUUCGCCACCGUCCGUAGCUGAGAAGUUCUCCAAACCGCCCCACUUAGAGGAAGGAGAAGUCGUAACA